GCUGCCCCUAGAGGCUUUGCUUUUGUGGCUGCUGUGUCACAAGUGUAUCAGGAGGUGGCACAAAGGAGAGAGACUAUGCUAUACUCAGUGUUCUGACCUGGAAACAUCUGAAUGACUAGUUCCUAACACG
ensembl:snoRNA Gm25832 small nucleolar RNA SNORA17